GUAAAAUAUUUAUAGGUUACAGAUGGGCAUGCGUGACAUUAGUUAGUUGGUGAGGUAACGGCUCACCAAGACUGCGAUGUCUAGGGGUUCUGAGAGGAAGGUCCCCCACACUGGAACUGAGACACGGUCCAGACUCCUACGGGAGGCAGCAGUGAGGAAUAUUGGUCAAUGGACGCAAGUCUGAACCAGCCAUGUCGCGUGCAGGGCGACUGCCCUAUGGGUUGUAAACUGCUUUUAUAUUGGAAGAAUUGCGCUUACGAGUUAAGCGUUUGACGGUACAUUAUGAAUAAGGAUCGGCUAACUCCGUGCCAGCAGCCGCGGUAAUACGGAGGAUCCGAGCGUUAUCCGGAUUUAUUGGGUUUAAAGGGUGCGUAGGCGGAAAUGUAAGUCAGUGGUGAAAUCCUGCAGCUUAACUGUAGAAUAGCCGUUGAAACUGUGUUUCUUGAGUACAUUUGAGGUAGGCGGAACGUGGUGUGUAGCGGUGAAAUGCAUAGAUAUACCACAGAACACCGAUUGCGAAGGCAGCUUACUAAACUGUCACUGACGCUGAUGCACGAAAGCGUGGGUAUCAAACAGGAUUAGAUACCCUGGUAGUCCACGCUGUAAACGAUGAUUACUGGUUGUUUGCGAUACACUGCAAGUGACUGAGCGAAAGCAUUAAGUAAUCCACCUGGGGAGUACGUCGGCAACGAUGAAACUCAAAGGAAUUGACGGGGGCCCGCACAAGCGGAGGAACAUGUGGUUUAAUUCGAUGAUACGCGAGGAACCUUACCUGGGUUUAAAUGGGGAGUGACAGGCUUGGAAACAGGCCCUUCUUCGGACACUCUUCAAGGUGCUGCAUGGUUGUCGUCAGCUCGUGUCGUGAGAUGUUGGGUUAAGUCCCGCAACGAGCGCAACCCCUACUCUCUGUUGCUAUCAGGUAAAGCUGGGCACUCUGAGGGAACUGCCGGUGGCAAGCCGGAGGAAGGUGGGGACGACGUCAAAUCAUCACGGCCCUUAUGUCCAGGGCUACACACGUGCUACAAUGGCCGGUACAAAGAGUUGCUAAACCGCGAGGUCAAGCUAAUCUCAAAAAACCGGUCUCAGUUCGGAUUGGAGUCUGCAACUCGACUCCAUGAAGUUGGAAUCGCUAGUAAUCGUGGAUCAGAACGCUACGGUGAAUACGUUCCCGGGCCUUGUACACACCGCCCGUCAAG
rnacentral:rRNA from 1 species